rnacentral:rRNA from 1 species
GAUGAACGCUGGCGGCGUGCUUAACACAUGCAAGUCGAACGGGGAUAAGGAGGGCUUGCCUUCCUUAUCCAAGUGGCGGACGGGUGAGUAACGCGUGGAUAACCUGGCCCAUACAGGGGGAUAGCAGCUGGAAACGGCUGGUAAUACCGCAUAAGCGCACAGGGGCGCAUGCCCUGGUGUGAAAAACUCCGGUGGUAUGGGAUGGGUCCGCGUCUGAUUAGGCAGUUGGCGGGGUAAAGGCCCACCAAACCGACGAUCAGUAGCCGGCCUGAGAGGGUGGGCGGCCACAUUGGGACUGAGACACGGCCCAA